AUGAAAUCAAAUAAAAGAUAUUACAACAUUCUAUUCUCAUUAUCAACUGAUUGUCCUAUACUUUCACUAACAGGCCCAGCUGUUGAAAAGUGGUUUCGAUCGGAUGAGUGCCGGUGGCCUCUCUUUUGUGAAAGAUACAAUGAAUGGAAAUUAAGUUUUCUUUCCUUCAAGGGAAAGGAAGCUCUGGUCCUGCCAAAUUGGUGA